rnacentral:rRNA from 1 species
AGAGUUUGAUCAUGGCUCAGGAUGAACGCUGGCGGCGUGCCUAAUACAUGCAAGUCGAGCGGAAAGGCUCCUACUCUGUGUUUAAUGGAAUUGAACAUAGUGUUGGAGUACUCGAGCGGCGGACGGCUGAGUAACGCGUAGGAACGUACCCCAAAGUGAGGGAUAAGCACCAGAAAUGGUGUCUAAUACCGCAUGUGGUC